CUCGAAAUAAAAUGAGCUGAAAUAAAUCUGUUUAGAACAUAAAAAAUUUGUCGCAUUUUAUUUUUAAGAAUUUAUUUCAGAGGCUACAUACCACGCAUUUUCAACUACCUAGUUUAUUUUAAAAUUUAUUUAAGUAAAGUCAAUAUACUAAUAUUGGGUUAAUUUAUAAAGGAUAAGCUUUAUAAAAAAUAGAAUACAAUUCUCAAACUCCUCCUUAUAGGCUUAGAAUUAGCUAUUUAAAUCUGUUAUAAGAAUAUAUCAAAUAAUUAUAAUUAGUAUCUAAAUCAUAAAAUACUCUUAUAAAACCUUUUUUACGUUGAUAAUGGUAAGAUAAAUAUUUUAUUAUUAAAUUCAAGUAAAUAAAAUCUCCAAUAAAAUUUUCUUCAAAAAUAUCUUUUUUUAAGGAACUCGGCAAUCCUAAUUCUCGACUGUUUAUCAAAAACAUUGCCUUCUGGCUCCCUAUAGAAGGUUAUUUCUGCCCAGUGAAAUUUAAAUGGCCGCGGUAUCCUGACCGUGCGAAGGUAGCAUAAUCAUUUGCCUCUUAAUUAGAGGCUUGUAUGAAAGAAUAAACGAAGAAUUAUCUGUCUCAUAACUACCUAUAAAAAUUUACCUUCAGGUGAAGAGGCCUGAAUACACCUAAAAGACAAGAAGACCCUAUCAAGCUUUAUUUCAAUUCAUAUCUCAAAUUAAAUAAAAAUUAGUUGGGGCGACUUAAAUUCAUUUAAAUCAAUUCUUCUUCUUUAGAGAAAUUCCUCAUUAUAUUUAACUCUAACAAAAACAAGAGAGCUACUGUAGGGAUAACAGGCUAAUAUCUUUCACGAGCUCAUAUCAAAAAAGAUGAUUGGCACCUCGAUGUUGGCUUUGGAAACCUAAUUUGUGCAGAAGCAAUUUUAGGUGGUUUGUUCAACCAUUAAACUCCUACAUGAGCUGAGUUCAGACCGACGUAAGUCAGGUUAGUUUCUAUCUUUUACACUCAUUCUAGAUAGUACGAAAGGACCACUACAA
rnacentral:rRNA from 1 species